rnacentral:rRNA from 1 species
GCGGGCGGACGGGUGAGUAACACGUGGGCAACCUGCCUGUAAGACUGGGAUAACUUCGGGAAACCGGAGCUAAUACCGGAUAAUGCAUAACCUCUCAUGAGGUUAUGCUGAAAGAUGGUUUCGGCUAUCACUUACAGAUGGGCCCGCGGCGCAUUAGCUAGUUGGUGAGGUAACGGCUCACCAAGGCAACGAUGCGUAGCCGACCUGAGAGGGUGAUCGGCCACACUGGGACUGAGACACGGCCCAGACUCCUACGGGAGGCAGCAGUAGGGAAUCUUCCGCAAUGGACGAAAGUCUGACGGAGCAACGCCGCGUGAGUGAUGAAGGUUUUCGGAUCGUAAAACUCUGUUGUCAGGGAAGAACAAGUGCCGGAGUAACUGCCGGCACCUUGACGGUACCUGACCAGAAAGCCACGGCUAACUACGUGCCAGCAGCCGCGGUAAUACGUAGGUGGCAAGCGUUGUCCGGAAUUAUUGGGCGUAAAGCGCGCGCAGGCGGUCUCUUAAGUCUGAUGUGAAAGCCCACGGCUCAACCGUGGAGGGUCAUUGGAAACUGGGGGACUUGAGUGCAGAAGAGGAAAGUGGAAUUCCACGUG